UACAGAGGUGGCAAGCGUUGUUCGGAAUUACUGGGCGUAAAGGGCGCGUAGGCGGUUUUCCAAGUCCGUUGUGAAAGCCCCGGGCUCAACCUGGGGAUGGCAGUGGAAACUAGGGGACUUGAAUCUGGCAGAGGGGGGUGGAAUUCCACGUGUAGCAGUGAAAUGCGUGGAGAUGUGGAGGAACACCGAUGGCGAAGGCAGCCCCCUGGGCUGAGAUUGACGCUCAGGCACGAAAGCGUGGGGAGCAAACAGG
rnacentral:rRNA from 1 species